CUUAAAAGAGUUUAUCGAAAAUACCAGCUUUGGGGGUUGGAGAUCGUGUGUUUUAUGG
rnacentral:tRNA from 2 species